CACAUACUCCCUUCAUCUUAAAAUUAUUGUCUUAGGUUUAUUUAGAAAUGAAUGUAUAUAAAUACUAAAACGUGACUAUGUACAUUCAUAUUUAGACAAACCUACGACAAGAAUUUUGAGACGGAGGAAGUAUAUU
rfam:Hordeum vulgare subsp. vulgare, WGS project CAJW01000000 data, contig: morex_contig_55264